GUGAAGGAGGGAUUUACAGGGAGGACUUGGUCAUGCUGAAUCUUCCUCUGCCCAGCCCGGCGCCGUCGUGCGCCGGUGAGCCUCACCGCCCCUUCCACCGGCACCACCUCACUCCGACGAGUCCCCCCACACUGGUCUCCCUUUCUCACGCUCUCUCUUCCUCUCUCUCGGCUGUGCACUGCCGUAAUGGGCUUGAUGUUGCUGCGCCGCCGUGCGCUAUCCUCCGGCGCCACCACCUCUACGGUAGCCUCCUCUCCCACCGGCCAUCCCCCUCCAGCGAGCUCGGCCUCCAUCUCCCUGCCGUUUGCCCCCAC